GGAUCAAUCUGUUGGUCGUGCCUUUGGUACGUACUAGCUUAUUGAUUUCUCCCUUCUGACGAACCAUGAUGUCAUUAAUUUGGUGUCAUGGGGAAUUAGGACUGUUACUUUGAAAAAAUUAGAGUGUUUAAAGCAGGCUCACGCUUGAAUACAUUAGCAUGGAAUAAUGAAAUAGGACGUUUCGAUUCUAUUUUGUUGGUUUCUAGAGUCGCCGUAAUGAUUAAUAGGGAUAGUUGGG
rnacentral:rRNA from 1 species